UUGAAACUGCCGGGCUUGAGUUCAGUGGCGGCAGGCGGAAUUCGUGGUGUAGCGGUGAAAUGCAUAGAUAUCACGAGGAACUCCGAUUGCGAAGGCAGCUUGCCAUACUGCGACUGACACUGAAGCACGAAGGCGUGGGUAUCAAACAGGAUUAGAUACCCUGGUAGUCCACGCAGUAAACGAUGAUUACUAGGAGUUUGCGAUAUACCGUCAAGCUUCCACAGCGAAAGCGUUAAGUAAUCCACCUGGGGAGUACGCCGGCAACGGUGAAACUCAAAGGAAUUGACGGGGGCCCGCACAAGCGGAGGAACAUGUGGUUUAAUUCGAUGAUACGCGAGGAACCUUACCCGGGAUUGAAAUGUAGAUGACGGAUGGUGAAAACCGUCUUCCCUUCGGGGCGUCUAUGUAGGUGCUGCAUGGUUGUCGUCAGCUCGUGCCGUGAGGUGUCGGCUUAAGUGCCAUAACGAGCGCAACCCACAUCGGUAGUUGCUAACAGUUUUCGCUGAGGACUCUACCGAGACUGCCGUCGUAAGGCGUGAGGAAGGUGUGGAUGACGUCAAAUCAGCACGGCCCUUACAUCCGGGGCGACACACGUGUUACAAUGGGAGGGACAAAGGGCAGCUACCAGGCGACCGGAUGCGAAUCUCUAAACCCUUCCCCAGUUCGGAUCGGAGUCUGCAACUCGACUCCGUGAAGCUGGAUUCGCUAGUAAUCGCGCAUCAGCCAUGGUGCGGUGAAUACGUUCCCGGGCCUUGUACACACCGCCCGUCAAGCCAUGGGAGUCGGGGGUACCUGAAGGGCGUAACCGCAAGGGGCGCACUAGGGUAAUACCGGUGACUGGGGCUAAGUCGUAACAAGGUAGCCG
rnacentral:rRNA from 1 species